rnacentral:rRNA from 1 species
CAUGCAUGUGUAAGUAUAAGUGUUAUACGGCGAAACUGCGAAUGGCUCAUUAAAUCAGUCAUAAUUUACUUGACAAUGGCUUCUACAUGGAUAACCGUGGCAAUUCUAGAGCUAAUACAUGCGUAAAGGCUGGACUCACGUUCAGCUGGUUUUAUUAGAUAUGAUACCAACCCUUUGGUUGUGAUGAAUCAUGGUAACUGAUCGGAUCGCUCUGCGAUGAGUCAUCCAAGUCUCUGCCCUAUCAGCUCUCGAUGGUAGUGUAUUGGACUACCAUGGCAGUCACGGGUAACGGAGAAUUAGGGUUCGGUUCCGGAGAGGGAGCCUGAGAAACGGCUACCACAUCUAAGGAAGGCAGCAGGCGCGUAAAUUACCCAAUCCCGACUCGGGGAGGUAGUGACAAGAAAUAACAACUCGGGGUGUAAAAACUUUCGAGAUUGCAAUGAUCGUAAAGUAGACAUAUUUGAAAGAAACAAUUGGAGGGCAAGUCUGGUGCCAGCAGCCGCGGUAAUUCCAGCUCCAAUAGCGUAUAUUAAAGUUGUUGCAGUUAAAAAGCUCGUAGUUGAACUUCUGUGUUUCGUUUGAGGAUUCGUCCGGAAAACGGGAUACAUUAGUCUGCAGCAGGAUUCGUCCUGGGGGCAGACAGUUUACCUUGAGAAAAUUAGAGUGUUUCAGGCAGGCGUAGCCGGAAUACAUUAGCAUGGAAUAAUGGAAGAUGUCUCGGAUCCGUUGUUGGUUGGGUGAAGAGAAAUGAUGAAUAGGGACAGUCGGGGGCAUUAGUAUUUAAUUGUCAGAGGUGAAAUUCUUGGAUUUAUUAAAGACUGACUUCUGCGAAAGCAUUUGCCAAGGAUGUUUUCAUUGAUCAAGAACGAAAGUUAGGGGAUCAAAGACGAUCAGAUACCGUCCUAGUCUUAACUAUAAACUUUACCGACUCGGGAUCAGGUGGGAUCUUACGCCCGCUUGGCACCGUACGAGAAAUCAAAGUCUUUGGGUUCUGGGGGGAGUAUGGUCGCAAGGCUGAAACUUAAAGGAAUUGACGGAAGGGCACCACCAGGAGUGGAGCCUGCGGCUUAAUUUGACUCAACACGGGGAAACUUACCAGGUCAAAACAUGGGUGUGAUGGACAGAUUGAGAGCUCUUUCUUGAUUCUAUGGGUGGUGGUGCAUGGCCGUUCUUAGUUGGUGGAGCGAUUUGUCAGGUUAAUUCCUUUAACGAACGAGACCUUAACCUGCUAACUAGUGCCCUGUCUCCACAUGGGCCACUUCUUAGAGGGACUAUGCGAGUUUAUCGCAUGGAAGUUUGAGGCAAUAACAGGUCUGUGAUGCCCUUAGAUGUCCUGGGCCGCACGCGCGCUACAAUGGCACAUGCAACGAGUGUUCUGAUCAGAAAUGAUUGGGCAAUCUGCGAGGGUGUGCCGUGAUGGGGAUCGAUCUUUGCAAUUGUGGAUCGUGAACGAGGAAUUCCUAGUAAGCACAAGUCAUCAGCUUGUGCUGAUUACGUCCCUGCCCUUUGUACACACCGCCCGUCGCUCCUACCGAUUUUGAGUGAUCCGGUGAACCUUCUGGACCGAGCUUGCUUGGAAAGUUAAGUAAACCCGAUCACUUAGAGGAAGGAGAAGUC